UGUAUGGGACAACGUUAGCAGUACUGGCUGGCUGUAUGGGACAACGUUAGCAGUACUGGCUGGCUGUAUGGUACAACUUGAGCAGAAUUGGCUGGCUGUAUGUAUGGGACACCAUUAGCAGAAUUGGCUGGAUGUAUGGGACAAUGUGAGCAGUAUUGGCUGGCUGUAUGUAUGGGACAACGUGAGCAGAAUUCAUUGGCUGGAUGUAUGGGACAAUGUGAGCCGUAUUGGCUGGCUGUAUGUAUGGGACAACGUGAG